rnacentral:tRNA from 1 species
GGAGGAGUACCCAAGUGGCUGAAGGGGCUGGCUUGGAAAGCUAGUAGGUCGUUAAUCCGGCGCGGGGGUUCGAAUCCCCCUUCCUCCGCCA